UCGGUAAGAGAUCAGCUUGUACAGUAUCAGUUAGUUGGUGGGGUAAUGGCUUACCAAGACUAUGACGCUUAACUGGUUUGAGAGGAUGAUCAGUCACACUGGAACUGAGACACGGUCCAGACUCCUACGGGAGGCAGCAGUGGGGAAUAUUGCACAAUGGACGAAAGUCUGAUGCAGCAACGCCGCGUGGAGGAUGACACAUUUCGGUGCGUAAACUCCUUUUAUAUGAGAAGAUAAUGACGGUAUCAUAUGAAUAAGCACCGGCUAACUCCGUGCCAGCAGCCGCGGUAAUACGGGGGGUGCAAGCGUUACUCGGAAUCACUGGGCGUAAAGAGCAUGUAGGCGGAUUGAUAAGUUUGAAGUGAAAUCCUAUAGCUUAACUAUAGAACUGCUUUGAAAACUGUUAAUCUAGAAUGUGGGAGAGGUAGAUGGAAUUUCUGGUGUAGGGGUAAAAUCCGUAGAGAUCAGAAGGAAUACCGAUUGCGAAGGCGAUCUACUGGAACACUAUUGACGCUGAGAUGCGAAAGCGUGGGGAGCAAACGGGAUUAGAUACCCUGGUAGUCCACGCCGUAAACGAUGAGCACUAGGUGUCGGGGUCGCAAGGCUUCGGUGCCGCAGUUAACGCAU
rnacentral:rRNA from 1 species